CAGUCGUACUGACGGGGAAUCAACUUCUCGAGCGUGUUUUAGUGGGUUCAAAGUGCCUUUGUUCUCGCGAUAUCCGCGUUUCUUUUGGUGCACUUUCUCGUAUUGUAAGUUAGCAUCGGUUUUGAUCGUCAUAAGAUGAUUGGAGGAAUGUGGCUUCGACUUCGGUUGAAGUGUUAUAGACUCUGGUAGAUGUAAUGGUUGA
rnacentral:rRNA from 1 species